UAUUUCUAGUGUUCCUGCACAGCAGCUC
rnacentral:piRNA from 1 species